AUCCUUACUGCACCCACUAUGAUCGAAAUAUAAGCUGAUUCGCGAACAAAAAAAAAUACAAUGACAAUCCUACACAACCUUAUUACCAUUAGAAAUCUCAAUGAUUUGAUGUUAUUGCAAGUUUGCUCUAACCGAAAAUUAAAAGUAAAAUUAGAUUGCAUUGGAAUGCGAAAUGAAGGUGACGAAUCAUUCAAAAAUCUUUGGUUAAAUUGUUGGAAUAAGAUCAUAAUGAAUAAUAAUUAGGAAGCAUAGGAUUUUGAUAAAUGGUUUUGGUUCAGGGAGAGGAGGAAAAGGUAUUUGUUUGAGAGAGGGUUGUGAGUAGUUUAUCUUGAAAUGGGUCAAAUCCAGAAUUCAAAACUUUUGGAAUAGUUGUUUGUGAAAAGUAAUUAGACGAAAGGAAAGGAAAGACAUCUUAAUAUAAAAAAAAAACUUCAGAUAUCAUUCAUGUGGUUUCGUAUUUUUUUUAUUUUAAUAUUAUGUGGUUUAAAGUGUAUCAAUUUAAUACCCCGUGAUUUUAUUUUUCUCUUCUUAUUAUUCCAUCCACUAAUUUUUUUUCUUUAAAUUAAUGACAAAGUUAAAACUAAAAAUACUAAAAUGAAUACUCGAUAAACUUAGGUGGAGUAUCUGAAGUUUUUUGUAUAUAACUGUUUAACGAAAUGUUGACGGAGAAGCUGACGCAGGGAGAAAAAAAAAAUCACAGAAUAGGAUACUAAAGUGAGAAAGUACGAAACUACAGAGAUGAUAUCUAAAAUUUAUCCUUAAUGUAAUGUUACCUGUGGGGAGAGGGUCGUCAUUGUCGUUGUCGUCGCCGUUGUCAUUGUCCUCCUAAGGGAGAGGAGGUGGGAGAGGGAGGAGGCGAGUCGGGUGAGGCGGGCGUACUCCGGGUGGUCCGCCGCCCGAUCCGUUAGCCCGAACCGGCCCGCGCAGAUCUCCACCGUCCGCGCCAGCAGCAGCCCCGCGUGGGCCCCGCCAUUCAUCCCUUCCUCCCUCCACGUCACCACCCACUCAUGCCACUGCAUACAUAUACAUAUUAUUAUUAUUAUUAUUAUUAUUAUUAUGAGUUCGGCUAGGAUACUAUCGAUAGUACGAAGCAUUUUGUGCUAUUAAAUUUUCUGUCGUUAAAUUUAUUUAUUUUUUAUCAUUUUCAUCCGUUUGAUUAUACUAUUCAACUAACUACCUACUCAACCCUAGGAGGCCCACAUCAUCCUCACCGCACAUCUUUUAAUCAAAGGAUAGAAAACUUAAUAGCACGAAGUCAUUGGUGCUAUUAAUAAUAUUCGGGCCUAGUUCUUAUUAUUAUAUACAUAUAUAAAUAUAAUAUGUAUAUAUGUAUAUGAUAUAUGAACGUACACACCCGCCAACACAAACAGCAAACAAACAAAUCAACAAGAAGCGAACAAUGAAUAUAUCGAUAUAGAGUAUGACUCUCGUAUUUAUAAGUUGUUUUGUAUCAUAAAAUUUCUGUAUCGGCGAUUCAUACCGUUAAAUAUUAUUUAGAGUAUUUAAUGCUUUUUGAAAUCAAAUUUUAUAAUUUUUCAAUAUUAUUUAUCUUAUAAUAAAAAAGUCACAAAAUUGAUAAUUUUUAACGACCGGUAUGAAAUACUUUUUAGUUAAAUGGUGCAAAAUAAUUAGAAUAAGUUGAAUUUUUUAUAGAAAAGCCUAUUCACUACUUAUAUAAAGAUCAAUAACUCCGAUUUUAAAUUAAAGGAUCCGAUCAUCUAUUUUUAGAACGUCGUUCGAUUUUGACUGUUUAUUUUAUGCCUGCUUGAUAGACUUUAUAAUAAUUAAUAAAAAAAAGUUGGUAAUAAUAAAAU
rnacentral:lncRNA from 1 species